ACAUGUCAGGAUCAUGUAAGUAUCAUGGUCAGUAACAUGUUAGUAACAUGUCAUGGUCAUGGUCAGUAUCAUGGAUAGUAUCAUGUUAGUAUCAUGUUAAGUAUCAUGGUUAGUAUCAUGUCAUUAUCAUGGUUUGUAUCAUGUUAGUUUCAUGGUCAGUUACAUGUUUGUAUAAAAUCAGUAUUAUAAUUAACAUCUUGCUACUAUCAUGGUCAGUAACAUUUCAGUUUCAUGGCCAGAAUCAUGUUUGUAUCAUGGUCACUAACAUGUAAGUAUCAUAUCAGUUUUAUGGUUAGUAUCAUGUUAGUGUCAUAGUCAGUAACAUGUCAGUAUAGUGGUAAGUAUCAUGUCAGUGUCGUGGUCUGUAUUAUUGUCCUUAUCAUGUUCAGUGUCAUGGUCAUUAACAUGUCAGUAUUAUAUCAGUAUUAGGGUUAGUAUCAUAUAAGUAACAUGUCAGUAUCAUGUCAGUAUCAUGGUUAGUAUCAUGUUAGCAUCAUGGUCAGUAUCAUUUUAGUAUCAUGGACAGUAUCAUGGUUUGUAUCAUGGUCAGAAACAUGUCUGUAUCAUAUCAGUAUUAUGGUUAGUAUCAUGUCAGUGUAGUGGUCUGUAUCAUUGUCCUUAUCAUGGUCAGCAUCAUUUCAGUGUCAUGGUCAGUAACAUGUCAGUAUUAUGUCAGUAUAAGGGUUGGCAUCAUGUGAGUAUCAUGGUCAGAAACAUGUCAGUAACAUGUCAGUAUCAAGGUGAGUAUCAUGUUAGUGUCGUGGUCUGAAUCAUUGUCCUUAUCAUGGUCAGUAUUAUGGUCAGUAACAUGUCAGUAUUAUAUCAGUAUUAUGGUUAGUAUCACGUCAGUGUCGUGGUCAGUAUCAUUGUCCUUAUCAUGGUCAGUAUCAUGCCAGUGUCAUGGUCAGUAACAUGUGAUUAUCAUAUCAGUACUAUGGUUAGUAUCAUGUUAGUGUCAUGGUCAGUAACAAGUCAGUAUCAUAUCAGAAUCAUGGUUAUUAUCAUGUUAGUGUCAUGGUCAGUAACAUGUCAGUAUCAUGGUCAGUAUCAUGUCAGUGUCGUGGUCAGUAUCAUUGUCCUUAUCAUGGUAAGUAUCAUGUUAGUAUCAUGAUCAGGGACAAGUCAGUGUCGUGGUCAGUAUCAUUGUCCUUAUCAUGGUAAGUAUCAUGUUAGUAUCAUGAUCAGGGACAAGUCAGUGUCAUGGUCAGUAUCAUGUUAGUAUCAUGGUCAGAAACAUGUCACUAUCAUGGUCAGUAUCGUGUUAGUAUCAUGUUCAGUAUAAUGGUUAGUAUCAUGUCAUUAUCAUGGUUUGUAUCAUAUUAGUUUCAUGGUCAGUUACAUGUUAGUAUCAUGGUCAGUACAAUGUCAGUGUCGUGGUCAGUUUCAUUGUCCUUAUCAUGGUAAGUAUCAUGUUAGUAUCAUGAUCAGUAACAUGCCAGUGUCAUAGUCAGUAACAUGUCAGCAUCAUAUCAGUAUCAUGGUUAGUAUCAUGUUAGUGUCGUGGUCUGAAUCAUUGUCCUUAUCAUGGUCAGUGUCAUAUCAGUGUCAUGGUCAGUAACAUGUCAGUAUCAUUGUCAGUAUCAUGGUUAGUAUCAUGUCAGUGUCGUGGUCAGUAUCAUGUCCUUAUCGUGGUCAGUAUCAUGUCAGUGUGAUGGUCAGUAACAUGUCAGUGUCAUGGUCAGUAUCAUGUUAGUAUCAUGGACAGUAUCAUGGUUUGUAUCAUGGUCAGAAACAUGUCUGUAUCAUAUCAGUAUUGUGGUUAGUAUCAUGUAAGUAUCAUGGUCAGAAACAUGUCAGUAACAUGUCAGUAUCAUGGCCAGUAUCAUGUCAGUGUCGUGGUCUGUAUCAUUGUCCUGAUCAUGGUCAGUAUCAUGACAGUGUCAUGGUCAGUACCAUGUCAGUAUUAUAUCAGUAUUAUGGUCAGUAUCAUGUUAGUAUCAUGGUCAGUAACAUGUCAGGAUCAUUUAAGUAUCAUGUUUAGUAUCAUGUCAGUAACAUGUCAGUAUCAUGUUCGUAAAUACAUCUACUAUGCGAUUCUAAUCCAUUUCUUAAUGGAUAAAGCCUUGGCCCGGAUAAGAGGUCAUCAGGUGGUCCCCAACCAUCAUGGGGUGUUUCGACCCUUAACCACAACACCCUCAAGUUGGCGGGUCCGCAGUGACUGGCCAGGUCACUGCGCCUCUCAUCCAGGCUUCCAGCUAUUGUCCUCUCUCUUAUGCCAGAGCCAACAGGAGGCUCUCUCUGCCGCUUCUCCCAGCCUACGAACGGCUGUUUUCCUCAAGUGGCCUCUCAGUCCCACCUUAGUCAGGAGAUUCCACACUGACUGUGCUGGAAAACCUCGACAUCCUACUUCCACUGUCAUCAGCCAUGUUGUCCACCCCUUUUCUCGGCAGUCCUCGACAAGCUGCUGGUACUUGGUCUUCUUUCUCUCUGCCGCUUCCUCGCAUCCCUCCUCCCACGGGACCGUUAGUUCCACCAGGAUGAUCUUCUUUCCCUCUGGAGACCACAUAACUAUAUCUGGUCUCAGAGUGGUGGACAGUACCGCUUCUGGGAAGUGGAGCUUCCUCCCCAGGUCGACCUCCAUCUCCCAUCCUUGGACCGACUGCAGGAGGUUUUGCUUGGUUUGGCCUUGGACGACAGGUCUGUUGCCCUCUUUUACGAAGGCGAUGUUACUCAGCUGUGGUCUUCUCUUGGCCGGAUAUUUCUUUCUCCUCUCUUGCUCCAAGAUGACUGCGAGCAGUGCCAACACCUUGUCAUGGCGCCACCUAUAUCUCCCCUGGGUCAAUGCUGUUUUGCACCCUGAAAGAAUGUGCGCCAUGGUUCCUUUACCGCCACACAACCCACACAGAGGGUCUUCCCUCAUUCCCCACCUGUGCAGAUUGACUGGGGUCGGUAAGGUGUCGUACACUGCUCGGAGCAGAAACGAGAUCCGAAAAGGCUCCAGCCUCCAGAGUUCACUCCACGUGAUGGUCCUCUUGGGAAGGUCCCACCUUGUCCAGGCACCUUGAGAUGCGAGCUCGAUGGCUUUAGCUCUUCUUCCUUCCUCCUCAAGGUUUCGAACUUCGUCCUGGAUCAUGGUCCUCCUCUCCCGGGGAGUGGACUUUGACCACUGCUGGAAGUGUGAAGUUCCUAAGCCCUGUCUUCCAGUGCAGGGGUUACCAAUGGUUUCCUUGGUCCUGAGAGAAGCUUCUGCCUGGUGAACUGCGGUGCUGGUGGCCCACUUCCUGCCGGAUCUUGUUCGGAUUCCAGCUUCCCUGAUGAGUUGGUCUUGGGAGUCCCUAUAUGUCAGGGAAAGCCUGCACUUGGCGACUUUAAACUCCUCCACAACAGAGGACAGGGGGAGCUGGAGCUGACCCGACCUUAUGUAGAGCCCCACAGAUGUAAAGCUUGGGGGUAUUCCCAACCAUCUACGAAGGUGCUUGUUGAAUCUUCGCUCCAUCCCUUCAACUGAUGUUAAAGGCACUGUUAAAGGAAUAGUAUCACGUUAGUAUCUUGUUCAGUAUCAUGGUUAGUAUCAUGUCAUUAUCAUGGUUUGUAACAUGUAAGUUUCAUGGUCAGUUACAUGUAAGUAUCAAAUCAGUAUUAUGGUUAGCAUCAUUUUAGUAUCAGGGUCAGUAACAUGUCAGUAACAUGUCAGUAUCAUGUUAGUAUCAUGGUCAGAAAAAUGUCAGAAUUAUGGUCAUGGUUAGUAUCAUGUCAGAUUGGUGGUCAAUAUCAUUGUCAGGAUCAUGGUCAGUAUCAUGUUAGUAUCAUGGUCAGUAACAUGUUAGUGUCAUAGUCAGUAACAUGGUUUGUAUCAUGGUCUGAAACAUGUCUGUAACAUGUCAGUGUCAUGGUCAGUAUAAUGAUUUAGUCCAUGCCAGUAUCAUGGUCAGUAACAUUCCAGUAUAGUGGUUAGUAUCAUGUCAGUGUCGUGGUCAGUAUCAUGUCCUUAUCGUGGUCGGUGUCAUGUUAGUGUCAUGGUCAGUAACAUGUCAGUAUCAUAUCAGUAUUAUGGUUAGUAUCAUGUUAGUGUCAUGGUCAGUAACAUGUCAGUAUCAUGGUCAGUAUCAUGGUCAGAAACAUGUCAGUAUCAUGUUAAGUAUCAUGUCAGUUUCGUGGUCAGUCUCACUGUCAGGAUCUUGGUCAGUAUCAUGUUAGCAUCACAUUCAGACACAUGUCAGUAUCAUGGUUAGUAUCAUGUUAGGAUCAUGGUCAGUAUCAUGUUAGUAUCAUGGUCAGUUUCAUGUUAGUAUCAUGGACAGUAUCAUUGUUUGUAUCAUGGUCUGAAACAUGUCUGUAUCAUAUCAGAAUUAUGGUUAGUAUCAUGUCAGUGUCAUGGUCAGUAACAUAUUAGUAUCAUAUCAGUAAUAUGGUUAGUAUCAUGGUCAGUAUCAUGGUUAGCAUCAUGUAAGUUUCGUGGUCAGUAUCACUGUCAAGAUCUUGGUCAGUAUCAUGUUAGUAUCAUGGUCAGACACAUGUCAGUAUCAUGGUUAGUAUCAUGGACAGUAUCAUGGUUUGUAUCAUGGUCUGAAACAUGUCUGUAUCGUUAAGAAUUAUGGUUAGUAUCAUCUAUGUAUCAUGGUCAGUAACGUGUCAGUAACAUGUCAGUUUCAUGGUCAGUAUAAUGAUUUAGUCCAUGCCAGUAUCAUGGUCAGUGUCAUGUUAGUAUCAUGGUCAGUAACAUUUCACUAUCAUGGUCAGUAUCAUGUUAGUAUCAUGUUUAGUUUCAUGGUUAGUAUCAUGUCAUUAUCAUGGUUUGUAUCAUAUUAGUUUCAUGGUCAGUUACAUGUUGGUAUAAAAUCAAUAUGAUGGUAAGCAUCAUGUUAGUAUCAUGGUCAGUAACAUGUCAGUACCAUGGCCAGAAUCAUGUUAGUAUAAUGGUCAGAAACAUAUCAGUAUUAUGGUUAGUAUCAUGGUUUUUAUUACGUCAGUAUCAUGGUCAGUAUCAUGGUCAGUAACAUGGCAGUAUCAAGUCAGUAUCAUGACUACUAUCAUGUUAGUAUCAUGGUCAGUAACAUGUCAGGAUCAUGUAAGUAUCAUGGUCAGUAACAUGUAAGUAUCAUAUCAGUAUUAUGGUAAGUAUCAUGUUAGUAUCCUGAAUAGAAACAUGUCAGUAUCAUGGUUUGUAUCAUGUUAGUUUCAUGGUCAGUUACAUGUUUGUAUUAAAUCAGUAUUAUGGUUAACAUCAUGCUAGUAUCAUGGUCAGUAACAUUUUAGUAUCAUGGCCACUAUCAUGUUAGGAUCAUGGUCAGAAACAUGUCAGUAUCAUGGUCAGUAUCAUGUUAAGUAUCAUGUCAGUGUCGUGGUCAGUAUCAUGUCCUUAUCGUGGUCAGUAUCAUGUCAGUGUCAUGGUCAGUAACAUGUCAGUAUCAUAUCAGUAUUAUGGUUGGUAUCAUGUAAGUAUCAUGGUCAGUAACAUGUAAGUAUCAUAUCAGUAUUAUGGUAAGUAUCAUGUUAGUAUCCUGAAUAGAAACAUGUCAGUAUCAUGGUUUGUAUCAUGUUAGUUUCAUGGUCAGUUACAUGUUUGUAUUAAAUCAGUAUUAUGGUUAACAUCAUGCUAGUAUCAUGGUAAGUAACAUUUUAGUAUCAUGGCCAGUAUCAUGUUAGGAUCAUGGUCAGUAACAUGUCAGUAUCAUGGUCAGUAUCAUGUUUAGUAUCAUGUAAGUGUCGUGGUCAGUAUCAUAUCCUUAUCGUGGUCAGUAUCAUGUCAGUGUCAUGGUCAGUAACAUGUCAGUAUCAUAUCAGUAUUAUGGUUAGUAUCAUGUAAGUUUCAUGGUCAGUAACAUGUCAGUAUCAUGGUCAGUAUCAUGUUAGUAUCAUGGUCAGAAACAUGUCUGUAUCAUGGUCAGUAUCAUGGUUAGUAUAAUGUCAGGAUCUUGGUCAGUAUCAUGUUAGCAUCAUGGUCAGACACAUGUCAGUAUCAUGGUUAGUAUCAUGUUAGUAUCAUGGUCAGUAUCAUGUUAGUAUCAUGGACAGUAUUAUGGUUUGUAUCAUGGUCCGAAACAUGUCUGUAUCAUAUCAGAAUUAUGGUUAGUAUCAUGUAUGUAUCAUGGUCGGCAACGUGUCAGUAACAUGUCAGUUUCAUGGUCAGUAUAAUGAUUUAGUCCAUGCCAGUAUCAUGGUCAGUAUCAUGUUAGUAUCAUGGUCAGUAACAUGUCAGUGUCGUGGUCAGUAUCAUGUCCUUAUCGUGGUCAGUAUCAUGUCAGUGUCAUGGUCAAUAACAUGUCAGUAUCAUAUCAGUAUUAUGGUUAGUAUCAUGCCAGUGACAUGGUCAGUAACAUGCCAGUAUUAUAUCAGUAUUAUGGUAAGUAUCAUGAUAGUAUCAUGGUCAGUAACAUUUCAGUAUCAUGGCCAGUAUCAUGUCAGUAUAAUGGUCAGUAACAUGUCAGUGUCAUGGUCAGUAAAAUGAUUUGGUCCAUGCCAGUAUCUUGGUCAGUAUCAUGUUAGUAUCAUGGUCAGUAACAUGUAAGUAUCAUUUGUCAGUAUCAUGUUUAGUAUCAUGUCAGUGUCAUGGUCAGUAUCAUGUCCUUAUCGUGGUCAGUAUCAUGUCAGUGUCAUGGUCAGUAACAUGUCAGUAUCAUAUCAGUAUUAUGGUUAGUAUCAUGUCAGUAUAAUGGUUAGUAUCAUGUUAGUAUCAUGGUCAGUAACAUUUCACCAUCAUGGUCAGUAUCAUGUUAGUAUCAUGUUCAGUAUCAUGGUUAGUAUCAUGUCAUUAUCAUGGUUUGUAUCAUGUUAGUUUCAUGGUCAGUUACAUUUUAGUAUCAAAUCAAUAUGAUGGUAAGCAUCAUGUUAGUAUCAUGGUCAGUAACUUGGCAGUAUCAUGGCCAGUAUCAUGAUUUGUAUCAUGGUCAGUAACAUGUCAGUAUCAUGGUCAGUAUCAUGUUUAGUAUCAUGUAAGAAUCAUGGUCAGAAACAUGUCAGUAACAUGCCAGUAUCAUAGUUAGUAUCAUGUCAGUGUCGUGGUCAGUAUCAUGUCCUUAUCGUGGUCAGUAUCAUGUCAGUGUCAUGGUCAGUAACAUGUCAGUAUGAUAUCAGUAUUAUGGUUAGUAUCAUGUUAGUCUCAUGGUCAGUAACAUGCCAGUAUUAUAUCAGUAUUAUGGUUAGUAUCAUGUUAGUAUCAUGGUCAGUUACAUGUCAGGAUCAUGUAAGUAUCAUGUUUAGUAUCAUGUCAGAAACCUGUCAGUAUCAUGGUCAUUAUCAUGAAUAGUAUCAUGUUAGUAUCAUGUUCUGUAUCAUGGUUAGUAUCAUGUCAUUAUAAUGGUUUGUAACAUGUUAGUUUCAUGGACAGUAUCAUGGUCUGUAUUAUGGUCUGAAACAUGUCUGUAACAUGUCAGUGUCAUGGUCAGUAUAAUGAUUUAGUCCAUGCCAGUAUCAUGGUCAGUAUCAUGUUUGUAUCAUGGUCAGUAACAUGCCAGUAUCAUAGUUAGUAUCAUGUCAGUGUCGUGGUCAGUAUCAUGUCCUUAUCGUGGUCAGUAUCAUGUUAGUGUCAUGGUCAGUAACAUGCCAGUAUCAUGGUUAGUAUCAUGUUAGUAUCAUGGUUAGUAUCAUGUCAGUGUCGUGGUCAGUAUCAUAUCAGUGUCUUGGUCAGUAACAUGUCAGUAUGAUAUCAGUAUUAUGGUUAGUAUCAUGUUAGUAUCAUGGUCAGUAAUACGUCAGUAUCAUGGUCAGUAUCAUGUUAGUGUCAUGGUC